rnacentral:rRNA from 1 species
GUUGCCAGCGGUCCGGCCGGGAACUCAAAGGAGACUGCCAGUGAUAAACUGGAGGAAGGUGGGGAUGACGUCAAGUCAUCAUGGCCCUUACGACCAGGGCUACACACGUGCUACAAUGGCGCAUACAAAGAGAAGCGACCUCGCGAGAGCAAGCGGACCUCAUAAAGUGCGUCGUAGUCCGGAUUGGAGUCUGCAACUCGACUCCAUGAAGUCGGAAUCGCUAGUAAUCGUGGAUCAGAAUGCCACGGUGAAUACGUUCCCGGGCCUUGUACACACCGCCCGUCACACCAUGGGAGUGGGUUGCAAAAGAAGUAGGUAGCUUAACCUUCGGGAGGGCGCUUACCACUUUGUGAUUCAUGACUGGGGUGAAGUCGUAACAAGGUAACCGUAGGGGAACCUGCGGUUGGAUCACCUCCUUACCUGAAAGAAGC